GGCUUGGUGGUCUAGUGGUAUGAUUCUCGCUUAGGGUUCACCCUUCGCCAGAGAGCGUGUUCGAAAAGAGCGUGCUUGGAAUUUGCGAGAGGUCCCGGGUUCAAUCCCCGGCCAAGCCC